GAUGAACGCUAGCGGCAGGCCUAACACAUGCAAGUCGAGGGGUAGAGCACUUCGGUGUUUGAGACCGGCGCACGGGUGCGUAACGCGUAUGCAAUCUGCCUUACACUAAGGGAUAGCCCAGAGAAAUUUGGAUUAAUACCUUAUAGUAUAUUGAUGUGGCAUCACAUUAUUAUUAAAGAUUUAUCGGUGUAAGAUGAGCAUGCGUCCCAUUAGCUAGUUGGUAUGGUAACGGCAUACCAAGGCAAUGAUGGGUAGGGGUCCUGAGAGGGAGAUCCCCCACACUGGUACUGAGACACGGACCAGACUCCUACGGGAGGCAGCAGUGAGGAAUAUUGGACAAUGGGCGCAAGCCUGAUCCAGCCAUGCCGCGUGCAGGAUGAAGCAUCUAUGGUGUGUAAACUGCUUUUGUACGGGAAGAAACACCUCUUCGUGAAGAGGCUUGACGGUACCGUAAGAAUAAGGACCGGCUAACUCCGUGCCAGCAGCCGCCGCGGUAA
rnacentral:rRNA from 1 species